AUGCUGAUAAACAUCCAAUUAGCCACUAGGUACCUUGGCACAUCAGUGCAUUUGCUGAAACUUGGUAAGGCAAAAGCAAUUCAGAGAGCCUCAACCCACUUAUUCUUGUCUUCACUGUAUGACAGCAUCACAUCUGCUGUCUGUGAAAUCUGUUCCUGGUGCAUUGAUGGACCUAACACCACCCUCAACACCUGCUGGGGCCAGAUGGUGAACCAUGAAGUAUCCCCUCCUGCCUAUCUGGUGACUCUUUGGCAUGGGGAGGAAAACAACUUCUGCAAGAAGGAGAGCCACUAAGAUCCCAGAGACUAGGCAGAAGUUUUUGUAUCUUCUUCACUAUAGUUUAUUUCUUUACCCUCCCUCCUAAGUGUUUUACUAAUUCUUUCCUUUCCCCAUCUCUUCUACCAGCAGCUUCUGUAGGCUGCAUUUAUAUAUACAUAUAUAUAUUUGUUCUUUCUGUGUAAAGCAGCAUGAUUCACGGGAAAAGGCUUUGUAGCUCCUGCUUAGUGACCUCUCCUGGUUCCUCACUCCUGUUCUCCGCUGAUCAGAGCCACUGGUGAUUAGAUGCUCAGCAGAGGUGAUUGUGGAGCCUUUGACACCUCGCAUCCCCUGCUGCCUAGAUUUCGAAGAGGUAAUCAUUCCCAGAGACCUGCCACUGACCCUUUGCUCGAGCUUUUGUCGGUCACCUUUUACUGUCUCUUUUCUUAAAGAGCUUGAAGUAUCUGGAUUCUUCAGCUAGGCAAAAAAGGAGAUGCACUGAA
rnacentral:lncRNA from 1 species